UACGGUAGGGUCCGAGCGUUUGUCCGGAAUUACUGGGCGUAAAGAGCUCGUAGGUGGUUUGUCGCGUUGUUCGUGAAAACUCACAGCUUAACUGUGGGCGUGCGGGCGAUACGGGCAGACUUGAGUACUGCAGGGGAGACUGGAAUUCCUGGUGUAGCGGUGGAAUGCGCAGAUAUCAGGAGGAACACCGGUGGCGAAGGCGGGUCUCUGGGCAGUAACUGACGCUGAGGAGCGAAAGCGUGGGGAGCGAACAGG
rnacentral:rRNA from 1 species